GCCGGGUGACAUGACGGCAAUAGAAGACACUACUCUGCCGAGCCCAGGGUAGGGCAGUAUCUGUUUGUGCAUCACGUCACUCGGCAGAUCAUCAUGAUGAACCCUUUAGAGGGGUUGGUCGAUGGACGAAUUGAUGGUGGCGCGAUGCGCUGAGUUACCGUUCCUGCAGUCAGGAGGUCCUCAGUUCAAGGCUCGGCAGAGUAAGAUCUGUAUUUGUGUCACGUCUAACGGCCGAUCAUCAUCAUGAACCCUUAAGAGUGGUCAGUCGAUGGUGGCGUGAUGUGCUUAGUGACCGUCCCUGUGAUCAAGGAGGUCCCCGGUUGGAGUUGCAGGCAGGGCAGUACCUGCUUGUGUGUCAUGUCUCUCAGCAGAUCAUCAUCAUGAACCUUUAAGGGUGGUCAGUUGAUGGAUGGUGGUGUGAUGUGCUGAGUGACCGUGCCUGUGAUCAGGAGGUCCCCGGUUCAAGCCUCGGGUAGGGCAGUGUCUUUUUUUGUGUCAUGCACUCGGCAGAUCAUCAUCAUGAACCCUUAAGGGUGGUCAGUUCAUAGAUGGAUGGUGGCGCGACGCGCUGAGUGACUGUGUCUGUGGUUGAGGAGGUCCCUGGUUCGAGCCUCAGCAGAGCAGCAUUUUUUUACUGCCGUCGCAUCCCCUGGCAAAUCAUAUUCUUGAAGCCUUAAGGGCGGUCAGUCAGAGGAUGGAGGGUGGUGCGGCACAAUGAGUGACUGUGCCUGCAAUGGAGAAGGUCACUGGUGCGAGCCUCACAGAGACAGGUGAUACAUGUGUGAGAAUCUUUUAUUUGGCAAGAUAGGGAAAAAAAACAUAUAUACGAAAAACAGAGCUUGCAAGCAGAGGUGGCAAGUGGCGCUGCAGGCUAAGCCUCUGUAUCUGUGAUCAGAAGGUUGCUGGUUCAAGCCCAGCAUUGGCGGAAGAGAUGGGUGGUACAUGUGUGUGAAUCCUUUAUUUGGCAAGAUAGGGAAAAAAAAACAUAUAUACGAAAAUGAGUACAUACAAGCAGAAGUGGCGAGUGGCGCUGAAGGCUAAGCCUCUGUAUCUGUGAUCAGAAGGUUGCUGGUUCAAGCCCAGCAUUGGCGGAAGAGAUGGGUGGUACAUGUGCGUGAAUCCUUUAUUUGGCAAGCUAGGGAAAAUAAAAGACAUAUAUACGAAAAACAGCAUACAAGUAGGGAUGGUGAGUGGCGCUGCAGACUCAGCCUCUGUAUUUGUGAUCAGAAGGUUGCUGGUUCAAGCCCAGCAUUGGCGGAAGAAAUGUGUGUGAAUCCUUUAUUUGGCAAGAUAGGGAAAAUAAAAGACAUAUAUACGAAAAACAGAGCUUGCAAGCAGAGGUGGCGAGUGGCGCUGCAGGCUAAGCCUCUGUAUCUGUGAUCAGAAGGUUGCUGGUUCAAGCCCAGCAUUGGCGGAAGAGAUGGGUGGUACAUGUGUGUGAAUCCUUUAUUUGGCAAGCUAGGGAAAAUAAAAGACAUAUAUACGAAAAACAGCAUACAAGUAGGGAUGGUGAGUGGCGCUGCAGACUAAGCCUCUGUAUUUGUGAUCAGAAGGUUGCUGGUUCAAGCCCAGCAUUGGCGGAAGGGAUGUGUGUAAAUCCUUUAUUUGGCAAGAUAGGGAAAAUAAAAGACAUAUAUACGAAAAACAGCAUACAAGUAGGGAUGGUGAGUGGCGCUGCAGACUAAGCCUCUGUAUCUGUGAUCAGAAGGUUGCUGGUUCAAGCCCAGCAUUGGUGGAAGAGAUGGGUGGUACAUGUGUGUGAAUCCUUUAUUUGGCAAGAUAGGGAAAAUAAAAGACAUAUAUACGAAAAACAGCAUACAAGUAGGGAUGGUGAGUGGCGCUGCAGACUAAGCCUCUGGACAUCUGUGAUCAGAAGGUUGCUGGUUCGAAUCCAGCCUCAGCAGAGUAGCCACAGAGAAAGAGGUUCUCAGAGGUGGAGGAAGGGCCACAGAGAGACAGGUGGGAGUGUGAAUCGCAAAAAAAAAAAAAACUUUUUAUUUUUUUCUCAAAAAAAGGGUGGUGAGUGGCUAAUCUCUGUGAUCAGGUCAGUGUCCUCAAGCCUGCCCUCAGCGGAAUAGUUACAUGGCAGGCCCUUGAACACACUGACUGAUCCUGCUCUCUCUCUCUCUCUCUCUCUCUCACUCACAUACUCUUUCUCACUCUCUCUCACACACACACACACACACAGGGUCAGCCAAUGCAACCAAGGACCCAUCUUGUAACCAACCUACUGAGGGCGGGCUUGAACCAUCAACCUCAACUUUCCAAUCACAAGCGCAGCGACUUAGCCCACUGAGCCACUCACCAGUCCCAUUCGGAGCUCAUCUUUUCGUAAUUUUGACUCUCAAACACGUACGGGUCAGAGCAGAUUCGGUUUACGCAUCUGUGGCGAUUUCUGAACAACUUUUUACCCGGAUCUGGUUCACACUCAACUUGCUAUGUGGCCCCUCAGAAUUGGGACACCUGCCUUUACUCACACAUGAACUUUAAUGACAUCCCAUUCUUAAUACAUAGGCUUUAAUAUGGAGUUGGCCCACCAUUUGAAGAUAUAACAGCUUCAACUCUUCUGGGAAGACUGUUCACAAGGUUUAGGAGUGUGUUUAUGGGAAUUUUUGACCAUUCUUCCAGGAGAGCAUUAGUGAGGUCAGGCACUGAUGUUGGACGAGAAGGCCUGGCUCGGGGUCUCUGCACUGAUUCAUCCCAAAGGUCUUCUGUCGGAUUGAGGUCAGGGCUCUGUGCAGGCCAGUCAAGUUCCUCCACACCAGACUCGCUCAUCCAUGUCCAUAAACAGACGGCACCUGUCUCCAAAUUCCAUUAAAAAAAAAACGCGCUUGAUGCUGCGUUCAGUGCAAAUGUAAUGACAAAAACAUUACAGAUACUUCUCCGCCUGAGGCUUGAACCAGCGACCUCCUCGAUCGCAGGCACGCCACAGCAGAGUAGUAUCCUGUAUUGUGAGCGUCACGCGCGUCACCUUCCACAGCAUUGCUACAGCAGGCUCCGUACGAGCACCUCAGACGUCGGCUUUUGUGUAAAAUCAACUCUGACUAGGAGAGGACGAUCAAAACUUCGGGAGAACUUGACAAGACACUGCGCAACCCAGGCCGAGGAGUUCUGCAGGCGUUAGUCAAUGCCAGAAGACCCUGUAACUAUGACCUGGCCCUACCCAUCACGCCUGAGGGUCGUGAGACAACUGCAAGGGGUUAGCAAAAGCCAGGAACCAAGAAGCAGAGCAGCAAAGACCCCCUGUGGGUGGGAUUAAGCGCCGGAGCAACCCAGUCACUCAGAGAAAGUGAGCUAAACUGACUGUUGACUGAUAGCACACAUCAGCCACUAAGAGAUUCAGAGCCUCGUUUCUCACACUAAAUAAAAGUGUGGUGUUUUAUCAGAGCUGUGUAGUAAAGCACAAGCAGUCAAAGGCAGUGGAGAAGCAGCAAGUGCUGGGGGGGGAGGUCUCUGUAUCCCAGUGAUGCUCACUGCGUCUUCACAGGAUAAAUUCUGAGCGUCCAGGUGUAGGGGGGAGCGUCCUCGCUGGCAUUCCUCGUGCGUCACCCGAGAGCAAUGAGAUCCUGGUGUGCUUUCGAGGAAAAAGCACCCCCUGGGCUGAAAGCCAUAGCAAAAAUGUGCCCUCACGGUCCGAGCGGAACCGACAGCGCAUUCCGACCGGCACGCGUGUCGAUGGAGAAUCAGACUGUUAAACAGGAAGCAAAUUGUGUAAUACAUCCGAAUAUCAAAACACAAACCUGCAGGCUGGCUGAGUCAACAAUGCGCUUGUGGCUGGAGGCUGUCUGGGGCAGAAUAUGAGUCACAUAACAUGUGAAUAUAAAGACACAAUGUGCAGGUUCUCAGACUGCAAACUCACAUUUCAGUCUGACCUGAAGCACUUCAGACACUCGUCAAUAUUCAGGCGACGCUGUCGGGACUGGGGGGGGGGUCGGAGUCCAUCCCUGAGGUUGCCCCCCUGAGGGAGUGGGGGGAGUUGGUGGAUCAGCAGUCCCAGGGUCUUCUGAAGCCUCUCCCCCAGCUCAGAGGGGUGGUGAGGAGGGAGGGGAGAGCUGUGGGCAUAAUGAAUCCGAGGUUACUGUGUGCAGCUCAAAGCCCUGCUGAUUCCAUUCAUUAGCUGCUAUCUGGAGUCCAUUAAGGCACCAAGAAGAGCAGGGCAGGGUGUGACCGGAUGUGUUGCGUUUUGGUUGCUUUCGUAGGACUCGCUUUACGUUAUUCAUACUAACAAUGUGCACUUUGAUUCCAAAGCAACCUUACGCAGCAGAAUGUUCGCGUACCUUAACGGAAGCUGCUCCCCCAGGUGAACCCUGAUCUCUUCUCCAGCUCGCAAACCGCUCCGCCCCCUGAUGGUGAGUGGCACCCCGGGUCCGCCCCACUGCAUUGUUGAAGCCAAAGCUGGAGACCUAUCAGUCAUAGCAGACAUUCUGCAGGCCCACGCCUGGCCUGCCAUAGGACCUGCGCCUCCGUCGCUUUUCCUGUCGAUUUGCCGCCCUGCGCUGCAAGUGAUCCAUUUUAAUAGCACCCUGCCGCAUGUUCUGGGUACUGAGGCGCAGCACUGCCUCCCACACAUGCUGAAACAAGAGUGGGGCUGACAUCUGACCCCCCCCCACCACCACCAUCACCACCCCAAGAGCCCUUGGUGCAGAGCUAGCGGAUACAGACCCACCGCAGUACCUGUCUUGCCCACCAGUGGGCGGCGUAGAGCUUUGAGUGUGGAGGAGGACGUGCCAAGGUGCAGCCGAGAGAGAGCGCUCAUGAAGCCAGACACAACAGUGCACAGAGGAGUCCUCGACAUGCAUGCAUAUGAAGUCGCCACCUAUCCAUGCAGCUCACAUCACUGUGAAUUAGGGUGCUCUUCCUACACUGACUCUCUCAUUUUCCGGUUCCAACCAAUGCAAUCCCCGCACUGCAAGCAAAAAAUCUAUGCAAAACAGAGGUUAGUAUUCAAAUCAAAGCUAACAUCUUCACAGUUACACCUCCAUCGUCUGCAUCCAACUGGAACUUUUUCAAACCAGAAAGAAACACACCAAUGCCCCGUCUACUAAAAGGCUUUUUUAUUUCCCAUCAUGCGAAGCGGCGUGCAAUCUGCGCCGCGCCCAGUGCGAGAGGACGGGAUACUGCCAUCCUGCUUCCAUCUGUGGCUGGACACUCGAGUACUGAGGCCUGAUGGCUCAGACUGUGUGUUUCCAGCAAAAUGAACCCGCAGAUAAGCAACACCUUCCCCUGCUCUCAAACACAUGACAGAUUAAUGGGGUACUCUGCGCGCGCGCGUGCGUGUGUGUGUGUGUGUGUGUGUACGUCCCGAGGAUGCGUGUGCGUGUGGCUCAGCGUGGGCGUAUGUCCCAUUGUCUGAGAAAUCAUGUUUUACUGUUUAUUUCAUUAUUUAACAUGUAGGGUGUCUGCAUGCGUGGGAGUGUGUGUGUCUCUGUGUUCGUCCCGCCAGAUACACGGGUGCAUGUGUGUGUGCGUGGGCACUGUGUGUCUAAGUGGGGGUGUGGCUGCAGGUAUUGCAGACCCCUUCAGGGACCAGAACAAAGGAAUCUCACUCAAUAAUGUGGGGUUAAGUUUACAUUGACUUACAUCGGGGUACAAAUCAAGGCCUUUUAUUUUGCAAUAAACACAAACUAAUAACUAACAUAAAAAUAACCUUUGCUCAAUAGUGUGCAGUCCUUCCGAACCUAUAAUUAAAGUGUCAUGCUCAUUCAGGAAAUGCUGAGAAGAAUCUCGGCGUGUGAAGGCCACCUCAGAAGCAAGCUACUUUCAGGAAGCGUAAUUAAAGCUGGACCUUCUUAUUUCCACUCCUUCGUUAGUGAAACACAUCGCCGAUUUGCAGCCCCGCUGGUGGAACAACAAAGGGCUGCUGAGCGGGAUCACCAGCCAGGACCUGGGGGUUUCUGGGACCAUCCUUCUCUUCUGCCUGAUUGGGCGCCUGCAUGCAGUAGGAAGGCUGAACAACUAGGACUGCUUCGGCGAGCCUCUCCAGCCAGCCCAGUGACAGGGAGGACACACCCAUCAGGCGCGGGGCCAGGAUGCACGUGCCCCCUACUGGGGGGGGGGAGCGGGGGACACUGGAUCAGAGCACGGCGCCUGACACAGUGCCAACCUGAUGGCUUCACUGGAGGCCACGUGCAGUAUGCUUUCCAGAGCUGUGCAUCACAAAGCUCAUAUCCUCCCUGUGCUGGACAAGCAGAAUGGACCCAUCUUCAGCUCAGACACUGCGAAGUCAGGCCAACCCUUACACAAAAAGAAGAAAUUAAAUGGCACGUCUAAUUAUUAUUCAGUUAAAUAAUAAUAAGCAAUUAAUAUUAAUGGUUAAAAUAAUUCCCGAAAGCCCCUGCACCGUGAAAAGGAAGAGAGAGGACAGAAAGGUUUAUAACAUUACGGGGUAAUCAAGUAGCAUAUGAUUCACAUCGGGAUAUUGUUAAGACGCAGCGCAGUGUCGUGGGCGGCCACUAGAGGUCACCGGGUCGGACAGCCCCCCCGCCACCUCAGCAUAUCCCGUUGCUGAAAUCGGAAGCGUGUCGAAUCGGCUGUUUUCUUUUGAACCGGUGACCCAAGGCUCAAACUGCAAGCAGGUGCAUCAGGUCAAAUGUCUGCAGCAGGCGAUGGGCCGCCCGAGCUCACUGUUAUUCUGGGAUUAGCGUUCCAAAGGCCAUCGCAGGCCGUCGCAGGCCGUAAGGGCACGGCAGCCAUUUCGCCUGACACCCCCGCUUUCAGCCCAGACAGUGUGGUGUGGGCGAUCGUCUAGAGUGUCGGAUUAUUAUGUACAAUUAUAAUAUCUGAAAGCGGAUAUGGCACGAGAGUGUGCUGCUCGCCGCAGGCAGGAAGAGGACAUCAGACUCACGGAAACAAUAAGAGAGGCAGCAGGGCCAGUGUCACCUGAAGAGUGUCCACUAGUGCUGUGGUGGACUUAAGGGUUUCUUGGUUCUAGGGGAAAAUUGGACUGGACCCCUCCUCAAGUGCAUCUGCACUAUGUGGCCAAAAGUAUGUGACAACAGACUGUCCAGUAUGUCAAUGUGAGGGCGAGGGUAUUAAUAUUAAGCCGGUCAGCCCAUUGUCACUGUAACAGCCUCUGCUCUUCUGGGAAGGUUUUCCAUUAGAUGUUGAAAUAUAGCUGGAUUUAUUGCCUUUCAGGUUUGGUGUUGAUGUUAGGCGAUCAGGUCACUUACUGUGGGCUUGCGUGUCCAACCGUUUUGCAGCUGAACUUGCUUCCAGACAUUAUGACCUUCACAGUCACUUUACUCACGCUUAACUAGGGCAACUCUAGCGGAAAGUUGGCGUUACAGGGCAACCAAACCAACUGACCAGUAAAGGUGUCCAAAAACUAGUUGAGAUCUGCAGCAUCAGAGAUGGAAACCCAUAAAUGUCACACUAGUUCUGAAUGUGACACCCAGUGAGGCACCGGUGACCUGCUGGCUUCUGAUCCAUCUCCUGAACUGACCCAUCUACUGUCAAAGUGUUAAGUAGCUCAGUUCAUGAUGAAAUGGCACUGGGUUAGAGUAGACACUGGAAAACUAUAGUGGCUGCGCUGUCAAUCCACAUCUUAUUACGAUCUUUAUUUGAUCUCCCUGUGUUGAACCAGGAUUGACCUCAUAUAGCAGUCAUAUGAUGGCAUUUACUCUUGGGGGGGGGGAGAGGGAGGGUGUGGAAGAUGCAACCCCUGAGACAGAGUGGAAGGAAGAAACAGCAACUUUACUGAGGGACACGACUGUAUCGGGUUUUAGUGCAAGUCGGGUGAUGGAGGGGCUCACAGCGGGGACCAGACUCCAGCGUCACUAUGAGUAACCGGUGAAGUGAGUGAAGUGAAGUGUCACCUGACGUCACCUGGCCCAGAAACAGCCCAGGAUCUCACACCCUGUUCUUUCCUUCAGUAAGUCCAACUUGGGAAACUGCUGCUGUAACCCUGAAGAGGAAAACGCCAGACUGUCUGAGCACACACCUUGGCAAACCGCAAACUGCUUCAGAGAGAAAUGCUAGCUGAGAGGAUACCUACGAUGUGGGCAGCAGGGGCUCGAACCGGCCUUGUCCGUCAGGAGCGGGGACACCGUUGGGCCAGGUGGGGGGGGGGGGGGUCCCUGCAGAUCGGCGGCAGGCAGGGUGGGGACCGGCCAUCAUCUGGCCAUCAGCAUACCUGCCGUUUGAAGUCAUACAGCCCCACCCCCUACAGACCCGCCACAACACUAUCAAAUUUAAACCCCCAGGGCAUGGAGCAUGCCGACCAAGGCGUGAAGUCACCCCGGGAUCACGUUAAAUGCAGCAUGAUGCAUGCAGGUACGCAGCGAUGCUCAGCUCCUCGCUCGGCCCCUACUGCUCAGCUGUUGAACUGCCAAGGGCUCUGACUGACCGCACUGAGAUCCCAGUGAUCCCCUAACCCUAAUCAUUUAAACACAAAAGGGCAUCACACUACAAGCUCCUGUACUUGCUAGCAUCGCCUAUUAACAGGCCCCGCCCCCUACAGAGACCUCCUGCCCCCCAGCUCUGGAGGUUCCAGCGUACAGGCUUGCUUAUCGACCGUCCCACACAUUAAGGUCAAAUUACCUUGCUGUCCUGCCCCCCUCGUUAAAAGCUCUGUAUCCAUAGAGGUAAGAGCUGUGAAAAUGCACAAUGAGUCGGUGACAGGGAUCCACCGGUGAUGACCUCAUCAUCCUCUAUGUGACGAACCCCCAGUACGACACCAAAUAGAGCCACCCAGAGAAGCUAGAGGAGGAAGUUAUCUUGUGGUGCAGGGAGAACUUACCUGCAGCUCAACAUCAAAAAGACAAAAGAGUUGGUGGUGGACUUCCAGCGUGACGAAGAGCCCCUCAGACCAGUGACCAUACAGGGGGAGGAAGAGAAGGUGUUGCAGACCUGCAAGGACCUGGGGCUCCACCUGAAGAGCAGACAGGGCAGGACGGACAAGACAGCGGUGCUGAACAACAUCAUGGACAAUUCUGCCCAUCCCCUCCAGGGGGCGUUAUCUUGGAGCACCAUUAGCCAAUGGCUCAUUCUACUAUGAUGUGCUAAGAAGCUCUACUGAGGAUCCUCCCAGCCUGCUGUCACCAGGCACUACAAACCCGCCUUUGGAUAUGUCACUCGCCACCCCUGGCCAUAACUACACACUGCAUACCUAUGCAUGAUGGUGCACAAUGCACACAUUCUUAUUUUAUUAAUUUUACGUGAUCUUGUUUUGCACUACGCAUAAUAUCUUUGCACUAUGGAUCCGUGCAUUUGUACAUAUUCCUUUACUGCUAUAUGCAAAUGAACUUUCCCCUGUAAUAAAUAACUGAUAUUAUCCAUC